CUUGGGGAUGAUUUUAAGAAUUGAACUCUCUCUCUGAUGGAGUAGUAGAGAGAACAAAAAUUCUUACUAGC
ensembl:snoRNA SNORD26 Small nucleolar RNA SNORD26